GAUCAGGUGGCCGAGUGGUUAAGGCGAUGGACUGCUAAUCCAUUUGGGGUUUCCCCGCGUGAGUUCGAAUCUCAUCCUGAUCG
rnacentral:tRNA from 1 species